rnacentral:snRNA from 1 species
AUACUCAGGUUUCUCUUCAGAUCGUAUAAAUCUUUCGCCUUUUACUAAAGAUUUCCGUGGAGAGGAACGAUUAUGGGUUAUUACUUAAUUUUUUGAAGUCCUACUUUGUGGGGCU